UACAGAGGUCUCAAGCGUUGUUCGGAUUCAUUGGGCGUAAAGGGCGCGUAGGCGGCCCGGUAAGUCUGCUGUAAAAGUCAAAGGCUUAACCUUUGAAAGUCAGUGGAUACUGCCGGGCUAGAGUCCGGAAGAGGCGAGUGGAACUCCUGGUGUAGCGGUGGAAUGCGCAGAUAUCAGGAGGAACACCAAUGGCGAAGGCAGCACUCUGGGACGUGACUGACGCUGAGACGCGAAAGCGUGGGGAGCAAACAGG
rnacentral:rRNA from 1 species